rnacentral:misc_RNA from 1 species
UACGGAGGCUCCAAGCGUUACUCGGAAUCACUGGGCGUAAAGGGUCCGUAGGCGGCCAUGUGUGUCAGGUGUGAAAUCUCGGGGCUCAACCUCGAAACUGCGCUUGAAACUAUAUGGCUAGAGUGUCGGAGGGGUGAGUGGAAUUCUCGGUGUAGCGGUGAAAUGCGUAGAUAUCGGGAGGAACACCUAUAGCGAAGGCAGCUCACUGGACGACAACUGACGCUGAGGGACGAAAGCGUGGGUAGCGAAAGGG